rnacentral:rRNA from 1 species
CNGGGAGGGCAAGUCUGGUGCCAGCAGCCGCGGUAAUUCCAGCUCCAAUAGCGUAUAUUAAAGUUGUUGCAGUUAAAAAGCUCGUAGUUGAAUUUCGAGAUCGGCUUACUGGUCGUGCUUUUGUACGUACUGGUAUAAUCGGUUUCUCCUUUCUGACGAACUUUAAUGCCAUUAAUUCGGUGUUUUAGGGAAUCAGGACUGUUACUUUGAAAAAAUUAGAGUGUUUAAAGCAGGCUCACGCUUGAAUACAUUAGCAUGGAAUAACGGAAUAGGACGGUUUGAUUCUAUUUUGUUGGUUUCUAGGAUCGACGUAAUGAUUAAUAGGGAUAGUUGGGGGCAUUAGUAUUCAAUUGUCAGAGGUGAAAUUCUUGGAUUUAUUGAAGACUAACUACUGCGAAAGCAUUUGCCAAGGAUGUUUUCAUUAAUCAAGAACGAAAGUUAGGGGAUCGAAGACGAUCAGAUACCGUCGUAGUCUUAACCAUAAACUAUGCCGACUAGGGAUCGGAUGAUGUU